CACCGAGUUGGAUGCUGCGUUCAAAGGCAGACGUAAACUCCUGGAAUAAGGGCCGUCGCUGCGUGUGUGUCCCAAUCCAACAUUAACAAACCCCCAAGACAAGUAUUUUCAUGCUGCUAUUAAGCAACAACGAGUUUACAAAACCACAUGUAAAGAAGAUGAACCGCAGGGCUACGUGGAUGUUUUAAUGUUUUCAUUUUCAGUCAGUGGGUUCAAACACUUAAUACAUAUUUUGCCCGGAUUCGGGGUCAAAGGUCACUUCAGUAUUGUUGCCGCGUAGAAACAAAGAAAAUAAUAAAAAAAAUACCUGAAAUAAGAGAAACAUAGGUGUAAUGUAUCCCGAACACGGGAAAACGUCUACCUGUACUGCAUCCACCAAUGAGCUUCCAGUUCACUUUCCUACCUUAUAUGGUCAGAGAUCAGACAGAGAAAGAAGAGUUCUGCAGAAUAGAGGAGGCUGCAGAGUGGGGAGGUGGGUGGAGGUGUGGUCUGGAGCGGAGAUCCUCUUCCUGCAGUGUGAAAUUUCUGUUUAAACCCAGUCAUUACCCGGAGCCCUGUUGUUUCAGUCACACAUCAAACAUUGGCUGACUGCGUGUAAUAGCAUGAAUAGAACCGGAGGACUACUAGCAUUACAAGACGUGCACAUAGGUUUAUCCCUGUAGAAAAUGUAACAUAACAAAUAAAUGUGUGAUUUUUUUAUGCGAUUAUAGGACGAAGCCUGUUGCAGUCAGUAUGCACUGUAUGGAGACGGUUUAGUUUUUUACUUACUAUGUGAAAAAAGUAAUUCAUUUAAAUAGACUGUUUUAAAUAUUUAUAUAUCAUUACGUUCAAAGGUUUGACUACUGGACAGAAGAUGUCUGCUGCUUUCCCAAUGUUCCAGCAAAUAUUGAAUAAUAUUUGCUGGAACAUUCAAGUUUACAUUGCCUUACGUGAUUAUGAUUUAAUAUUAGAUUUAGAUCAGAUGAAGAAGCAGUAAGUAAAUGUGAUUAUAACAGCGGUUGUAGAUCCGGCGCACGCCUCUGGUUCCAAGUAAAAGCUGUAAGGUGACAUGGGAGUUGUUAAAGCUUGCAUCUGAGCAGCUUCUGCGUUCCUUUCGCUCCGUCAUCAUCCUGUUGGCUCAUAUUUGCAGCCUUCACACAGAACGCAGCCUCACUCCAGGUGAAGCUGACUGCAGACCAGGGAAAUAUAUACAUACAUAUCAAUCAUCAUUAUCUAAGGGAAAAAGGGGCUCAUUUUUCCAACAUGCCAGUGUUGCAUGUGGCAAAACUAGAAUGACUGUGUUUUAAAUCCGUUAAACUCUGCAUGAUCCCUUUUGUUCCUACUUAAAACAGGAGCAAAAGCAGAGUCUGGUCAAGUCACGUCUUGUCGUGCUGGUAAUUGUGGUAAAUAUCAGCGAGGGUGAAAGUAGGGAGGCAGCACGAGGAAGAGACAGAUACGACUGUUGUCAGAGGCUGUGCAUUAAAGCUUAUUCAUGCAAGUUUGGGCACGUCUUCAUGUUACCAGAUGAAAACGUUCUACCUGCUGCCUCAGCACAACACGCAGAUGAUUCAGAUGCUGCGUUACAACGCUAACCUGCAGCCACCGGGGCAGCGCUGAGGGAGUGCUGCUCCCUGCUGUGGACAACACUGGAACUGAGUGUGUGUGGGUGAGAUUACUGCCGGUGCAGGUAUGACGUGAAUAAUGGAGGUCAUCUGACGCUCACAGAUGCUGUUAGUGUCCUCUGAAAAACAUUGACCCCAAGUCAGUAAAGUGGAAUGUUCUUUGUGAAAGUGAGAAUUCAACAUUCAUCUAUUAUAAAUAUCAUCUAGUGUCAUUACAUCACUUUAAUAUCUCCAAUAAUUAAUAAAUCCCAGUAACUGUGUCUUAUCACCAAAGAAACCAAAAGACAUGAGAACUUUUUAUGAGUUUUUAUUUAUUUAUGUCAUUUUUAAGUGUUUUAUUAUUUUUUUCUCCAAAAAAAUCCUGAGGUAUUCACAAUAUAAUGGCAUUUAUUCUUUUUGAAAUGAGACUGGGGGGUGGGGGAUAAAAUACAGCCUGAAAGAAAAAGGCAGUAAAGCUGUGUUGAUUGAUACAACUGUCAGACAACAAAUCCACGGUGACGUACAUACAAGAAGCCUCUGAUCUGUAACAGUGGUGACUAAAGACGAGCCCCCCCCCCCCCCGCAAACCAGCAAACU